rnacentral:rRNA from 1 species
GACGAACGCUGGCGGCGUGCUUAACACAUGCAAGUCGAACGGAAAGGCCCUGCUUUUGUGGGGUGCUCGAGUGGCGAACGGGUGAGUAACACGUGAGUAACCUGCCCUUGACUUUGGGAUAACUUCAGGAAACUGGGGCUAAUACCGGAUAGGAGCUCCUGCUGCCUGGUGGGGGUUGGAAUGUUUCGGCGGUUGGGGAUGGACUCGCGGCUUAUCAGCUUGUUGGUGGGGUAGUGGCUUACCAAGGCUUUGACGGGUAGCCGGCCUGAGAGGGUGACCGGCCACAUUGGGACUGAGAUACGGCCCAGACGCCUACGGGAGGCAGCAGUGGGGAAUAUUGCACAAUGGGCGGAAGCCUGAGGCAGCAACGCCGCGUGCGGGAUGACGGCCUUCGGGUUGUAAACCGCUUUCGCCUGUGACGAAGCGUGAGUGACGGUAAUGGGUAAAGAAGCACCGGCUAACUACGUG